rnacentral:rRNA from 1 species
UACGAAGGGUGCAAACGUUGCUCGGAAUUAUUGGGCGUAAAGCGCACGUAGGCGGCUUGGCAAGUCGGAUGUGAAAUCCCUCGGCUCAACCAAGGAAGUGCAUCCGAAACUGCUGAGCUUGAGUACGAAAGAGGAUCGCGGAAUUUCCGGUGUAGAGGUGAAAUUCGUAGAUAUCGGGAGGAACACCAGUGGCGAAGGCGGCGAUCUGGGUCGAUACUGACGCUGAGGUGCGAAAGCGUGGGGAGCAAACAGG